UACGAGGGGGGGCGAGCGUUGUUCGGAAUUAUUGGGCGUAAAGGGUGCGUAGGCGGUUUGGUAAGUCUGAUGUGAAAUCUAUGGGCUCAACUCAUAGUCUGCAUCGGAAACUGCCGGGCUUGAGUGUGGGAGAGGUGAGUGGAAUUCCUGGUGUAGCGGUGAAAUGCGCAGAUAUCAGGAAGAACACCCGUGGCGAAGGCGGCUCUCUGGGACGGUACUGACGCUGAGACGCGAAAGCAUGGGGAGCGAACAGG
rnacentral:rRNA from 1 species